CCUACGGGAGGCAGCAGUAGGGAAUAUUGCUCAAUGGGGGAAACCCUGAAGCAGCAACGCCGCGUGGAGGAUGAAGGUUUUCGGAUUGUAAACUCCUUUUGUUAGAGAAGAUAAUGACGGUAUCUAACGAAUAAGCACCGGCUAACUCCGUGCCAGCAGCCGCGGUAAUACGGAGGGUGCAAGCGUUACUCGGAAUCACUGGGCGUAAAGGGCGCGUAGGCGGGAUAGCAAGUCAGAUGUGAAAUCCUAUGGCUUAACCAUAGAACUGCAUUUGAAACUGUUAGUCUAGAGUAUGGGAGAGGUAGGUGGAAUUCUUGGUGUAGGGGUAAAAUCCGUAGAGAGCAAGAGGAAUACUCAUUGCGAAGGCGACCUGCUAGAACAUAACUGACGCUGAUGCGCGAAAGCGUGGGGAGCAAACAGGAUUAGAUACCCGAGUAGUC
rnacentral:rRNA from 1 species